UACGAAGGGGGCUAGCGUUGCUCGGAAUCACUGGGCGUAAAGGGUGCGUAGGCGGGUCUUUAAGUCAGGGGUGAAAUCCUGGAGCUCAACUCCAGAACUGCCUUUGAUACUGGCAACCUAGAGGCUGGAAGAGGUUAGUGGAAUUCCCAGUGUAGAGGUGAAAUUCGUAGAUAUUGGGAAGAACACCUGUGGCGAAGGCGGCCGACUGGGCCGACCCUGACGCUGAGACACGAAAGCGUAGGUAGCGAAUGGG
rnacentral:rRNA from 1 species